GGCGGCUGCAAUUCUUUCUUUUUCUUCCUCUUAGCAGCCGUGCACUCCAUGGAAGAAAAAGGCCAACAAAUCUCUUCAUUUCACCCUCAAAUCUUCAACCAAAUCACCUCAAAUUUUUCAUGCAACUUGCUAAUCACUUGGUGAACAACUUAAGCUAGAAAAUAGGCUCGAUUCUCACCAUUUUUCUCAGCUUUUAGAGGCCAAAAAUUUCUGCUUAAGCCAUCAUCAAAGGGUUUGAGACCAAGAGUGCCCGAGAAUAGUACUAGAUUGCUUUCUUUUGAAGAUCUUCAGUUGUAUUAUAGCGGAUGGCUGUAGUAAAUAUUCCGUUGGGUUGUAUUUAAGCUUGAAAGUUAACUUAAUGUAAGUGUGGGAUAUUUUGGAGUACUUCAAUUAUGUAUUGAAGUUAUUUAAA